rnacentral:rRNA from 1 species
AUUGAACGCUGGCGGCAUGCCUUACACAUGCAAGUCGAACGGUAACAGGUUAAGCUGACGAGUGGCGAACGGGUGAGUAAUGUAUCGGAACGUGCCCAGUCGUGGGGGAUAACUGCUCGAAAGAGCAGCUAAUACCGCAUACGACCUGAGGGUGAAAGCGGGGGAUCGCAAGACCUCGCGCGAUUGGAGCGGCCGAUAUCAGAUUAGGUAGUUGGUGAGGUAAAGGCUCACCAAGCCGACGAUCUGUAGCUGGUCUGAGAGGACGACCAGCCACACUGGGACUGAGACACGGCCCAGACUCCUACGGGAGGCAGCAGUGGGGAAUUUUGGACAAUGGGCGCAAGCAUGAUCCAGCCAUGCCGCGUGCGGGAAGAAGGCCUUCGGGUUGUAAAACGCUUUUGUCAGGGAAGAAAAGGUUCUGGCUAAUACCUGGGACUCAUGACGGUACCUGAAGAAUAAGCACCGGCUAACUACGUG